rnacentral:lncRNA from 1 species
GUUUUUAUUCUUCCCCCCCCUCCCGUAAAUGAAUGAACAGACAAAACAUAAUGUUCAAGCAUGAUUAAUGUCAACAAUACAUGAUCUCGUUUAUUGUGAUCAUUCAUAAAGUACUAUAAUGAAUGUGAGAAAGCAUCAUCAUGGAUGGACAUGGGGACUUGACGGACUAACGGAGGUGUUCAUGGAGGUUUGUCUCAUGUAUUGCGCAACACUGUGGGUGGUGAAUGAACUUUCGUGUGGAUGAAUCUUGAAUGAAUUCUGAAAUCAGUAAUAACAUCAAGUGUA